rnacentral:rRNA from 1 species
UACGUAGGGGGCAAGCGUUGUCCGGAUUUAUUGGGCGUAAAGAGCGUGUAGGCGGCCAGGUAGGUCUGCUGUGAAAGUCAAAGGCUCAACCUUUGAAUGCCGAUGGAUACUGCCGGGCUAGAGUCCGGAAGAGGCGAGUGGAAUUCCUGGUGUAGCGGGUGGAAUGCGCAGAUAUCAGGAGGAACACCGAUAGCGAAGGCAGCUCACGGGACGGUACUGACGCUGAGGCGCGAAAGCGUGGGGAGCGAACAGG